CGCCUCUCGAACAAAUAUGAGAGGUCCAGCCUGCCCAGUGACUCUGUUCAACGGCCGCGGUAUCCUAACCGUGCAAAGGUAGCGUAAUCACUUGUCCUUUAAAUGGGGACUAGUAUGAACGGCACCACGAAGGUUACACUGUCUCCUUUUCCCAAUCAGUGAAACUGAUCUCCCCGUGAAGAAGCGGGGAUACACAUAUAAGACGAGAAGACCCUAUGGAGCUUUAAACAAGGUAACAACCGCCACCUUAUUCAAAUUUCAGAAUACUUGCCCUUAUCCUGGCGGCAUGAUUACUAGUUUUAGGUUGGGGUGACCGCGGAGAAUAAACCAACCUCCGUGUUGAAGGGGGCCUCCCCUAAGCAAAAAACCACAACUUUAUGCAUCAAUAAAUUGACAUUAAUUGACCCAAUAUUUUGACCAACGAACCAAGUUACCCUAGGGAUAACAGCGCAAUCCAUUUUGAGAGCCCCUAUCGACAAAUGGGUUUACGACCUCGAUGUUGGAUCAGGGUAUCCCAGUGGUGCAGCCGCUACUAAAGGUUCGUUUGUUCAACGACUAAGACCCU
rnacentral:rRNA from 1 species